GAACGUUUGUUUGUUUUUCUUUUCUUUUUAAAUACUAUCAUUCUUUUGAUUUCUUUUUUUAUCAUGAAGAAAUUGAUUAGAUGUUCAGUGCCGAAAGAUGCUCAUAUUGGUUGGCGAUUGACUCGACAUUCCCCAUCACUAAAAAACCCCCACUAUAUUCAGUGUCAGGAAUAGUGAAGGUACAUAAACCUAUGCUACUGACUGGACGUUCAUUAGAUAUUUUGGUGCAAUUAGAACCAACAAUGUGAAGACUCUCUUUACAAUAAAGGUACACAUCUCCUUUCAUUUACGCUUACCUGUAUUUAGAUUUAAUUUUUUGUGGCAUACCUUGAAGCAUUUGAGUUGAAUAUCUAAUUUC